rnacentral:rRNA from 1 species
UUCCUACGGGGGGCAGCAGUGAGGAAUAUUGGUCAAUGGGCGCGAGCCUGAACCAGCCAAGUCGCGUGAGGGAUGACGGCCCUACGGGUUGUAAACCUCUUUUGUCGGGGAGCAAAUUCCGUUACGUGUAACGGAGUCGAGAGUACCCGAAGAAAAAGCAUCGGCUAACUCCGUGCCAGCAGCCGCGGUAAUACGGAGGAUGCGAGCGUUAUCCGGAUUCAUUGGGUUUAAAGGGUGCGCAGGCGGAGGUGCAAGUCAGCGGUCAAAUUGCGGGGCUCAACCCCGUACUGCCGUUGAAACUGCAU